rnacentral:rRNA from 1 species
CCUACGGGAGGCAGCAGUGAGGAAUAUUGGUCGAUGGACGCAAGUCUGAACCAGCCAUGCCGCGUGCAGGAAGACGGCUCUGUGAGUUGUAAACUGCUUUUGUACGAGGGUAAAUCCCGAUACGUGUAUCGGGUUGAAAGUAUCGUACGAAUAAGGCUCGGGUAACUCCGUGCCAGCAGCCGCGGUAAUACGGAGGAUUCAAGAGUUAUCCGGAUUUAUUGGGUUUACAGGGUGGGUAGGCUGUUCGAUAAUUUAGAUGUGAAAUCCCGGGGCUCAACUCCGGCACUGCCUGUGAUACGGUCGGGCGAGAGUGUAGUUGCGGUAGGAGGAAUGUAUGGUGUAGCGGUGAAAGGCAUAGAGAUCAUACAGAACACCGAUUGAGAAGGCAGCUGACGAAACUACGAAUGACGUUGAGGCACGAAAGCGUGGGGAGCAAACAGGAGUAGAUACCCCUGUAGUC